rnacentral:rRNA from 1 species
AUGUUCCGCGUUCGGCUAGAGAAUGACACCAUCAUCCUAGGCUAUAUUUCAGGAAAGAUACGGUCUAGUUCUAUACGAAUACUGAUGGGGGAUAGGGUCAAAAUUGAAGUAAGUCGUUAUGAUUCAAGCAAGGGACGUAUAAUUUAUAGACUUCCCCAUAAGGAUUCGAAGCGUAUCGAAGACUCGAAGGAUAGCGAAGAUUUGAAGGAUAGCAAAGAUUUGAAGGAUACCAAAGAUUCAAAGGAUUAG